rnacentral:tRNA from 1 species
GCUGUGACUCAGUGGUAGAGAACUUGUCUGGCAUGCAUGAGGCCCUGGGUUUGAUCCUCAGCACAGUA